rnacentral:rRNA from 1 species
UUCGAUUCCGGAGAGGGAGCCUGAGAAACGGCUACCACAUCUAUGGAAGGCAGCAGGCGCGUAAAUUACCCAAUCCUGAUCCAGGGAGGUAGUGACAAGAAAUAACAACCUAUGUCCUUUUAGGACUGUGGAUUGKAAUGAGUUUAAUUUAAAACACUAAACGAGGAACAAUUGGAGGGCAAGUCUGGKGCCAGCAGCCGCGGUAAUUCCAGCUCCAAUAGCGUAUAUUAAAGUUGUUGCAGUUAAAAAGCUCGUAGUUGAAUUUCUAAUUAGUAAUUAGCCAUCCUCCCGGAUACUAAUUCCUAGUUAUCCGACACUGAACUAUGAUGGUUAUUAAGUUAACCCCAUAGCGAAUUGUCAUUUUACUUUGAAAAAAUUAGAGUGUUUCAGGCRGGCAUUUGCCCGAAUAUCUUAGCAUGGAAUAAUGGAAUAGGACUUUGGUUCAUUUGAUUGGUUAUUGAAUCAAAGUAAUGAUUAAUAGGGACAGUUGGGGGCAUUAGUAUUUAAUUGUCAGAGGUGAAAUUCUUGGAUUUAUUAAAGACUAACUUAUGCGAAAGCAUUUGCCAAGGAUGUUUUCAUUAAUCAAGAACGAAAGUUAGGGGAUCAAAGACGUARAAA